GGUUAAUAAUGUUUUGUCAGUCCAUCCAUGGCUAGAGGAAAAUUCCUUCUUUAUGUAUUUUGUCCAUAACCCUGAUAAACCAACAGGGGCUUUCACACAGCACCUUAAAAGCCUGUCUUAUCCUUGGGGUUUCUGCAGCCAAUGAAAGUUUGUCAUGAUGAUGUAAUGCUCCUGAGUUGUGUUUCAGCACCGAGUGUGUGGUCACCGGGUAUCAUGCCUGAGAGCUAGGACUUCCUGGGUCCCAGAGAGUUCAAUAGCAAAGUCUUCAGCCCUUCAUGUAAGACCAUGUUCUUCACCAUACUUGGAAACUGUCUUAUGGAGGGGAAGAUCUAAGGAAUCCAAACCUCUUGCCUCUGCUUACAUUUUUCUCAGGCUACCAGAAUGUGACACCAACUGGCUGCCUCGGCUUUCUAUCGUUAUGGAAUCCUGUAUUCUCAGAAAGAGUAUGUAUUCUUGUUUUUGGCCUGGUCACCUAUUUCUGACAUGGGGUCCUUGCCCACUG
rnacentral:lncRNA from 1 species